CUUGUCUUGGUGACAGAGAGAGAGAGAUACCUGUUUUGGUAAUACACCACAACAGGUAUCUCCCUCUCUCUGUCUAUCAUGUUUCUU